rnacentral:rRNA from 1 species
CUACGGGUGGCACCAGUGAGGAAUAUUGCACAAUGGGGGGAACCCUGAUGCAGCAACGCCGCGUGGAGGAUGACGCAUUUCGGUGUGUAAACUCCUUUUAUAUGUCAAGAAAAUGACGGUAGCAUAUGAAUAAGCACCGGCUAACUCCGUGCCAGCAGCCGCGGUAAUACGGAGGGUGCAAGCGUUACUCGGAAUCACUGGGCGUAAAGGACGCGUAGGCGGGUUGGAAAGUCAGGUGUGAAAUCCUACAGCUUAACUGUAGAACUGCACUUGAAACUUCUAAUCUAGAGUAUGGGAGGGGGAGAUGGAAUUAGUGGUGUAGGGGUAAGAUCCGUAGAUAUCACUAGGAAUACCUAAAGCGAAGGCGAUCUCCUGGAACAUUACUGACGCUAAGGCGUGAAAGCGUGGGGAGCAAACAGGAUUAGAUACCCCCGUAGUC